GGCGAACGCUGGCGGCGUGCUUAACACAUGCAAGUCGAACGGAAAGGCCCUGCUUUUGUGGGGUGCUCGAGUGGCGAACGGGUGAGUAACACGUGAGUAACCUGCCCUUGACUUUGGGAUAACUUCAGGAAACUGGGGCUAAUACCGGAUAGGAGCUCCUGCUGCAUGGUGGGGGUUGGAAAGUUUCGGCGGUUGGGGAUGGACUCGCGGCUUAUCAGCUUGUUGGUGGGGUAGUGGCUUACCAAGGCUUUGACGGGUAGCCGGCCUGAGAGGGUGACCGGCCACAUUGGGACUGAGAUACGGCCCAGACUCCUACGGGAGGCAGCAGUGGGGAAUAUUGCACAACGGGCGGAAGCCUGAUGCAGCAACGCCGCGUGCGGGAUGACGGCCUUCGGGUUGUAAACCGCUUUCGCCUGUGACGAAGCGUGAGUGACGGUAAUGGGUAAAGAAGCACCGGCUAACUACGU
rnacentral:rRNA from 1 species